GUUUGGCUCACCUCCAGUACUUCAUCCCUCCAUUUCCCCAAGUACAGCCUUAAAAUUUCGCCACAUGUCUCUUAAAUAAUCUAACGGAUCAGAUCUAUUUGAUUAACCAAAGAUGUUUUAACCAUGAUAAAAUAUUCUCUCUCCUAAUCUCUCCAAUUGUUGCUUUUAUCAUUUCUUUCUCAGAAAAGAAGAAGAUGAGUACUAAUUUAUGAGUUCUACCUUGUUGCAAUUAAAUUUAGUUGUUGUUGUUGGUUGUUUGAUAAUGGAAGAAAAUCAAUGGCGAAACAGAGAGGGAAAACGAAAAUUUCAUAGUUUUUUGUGGGAUUUUCACCUCCAAAUUACAUGCUUUGGUUCAUUUUCACACGACCCCAAUUUGAAGGAUUGACUUCCUUUUUUUUUUUUUUUGGGUCAAUCGUUGUUGUUGAUUUAACAGAAGACUUUUACUCUGUUUCUUGCACAAUUAAGAAAUAACACAUCUUUCCUUUAAAUCAUUCAAAAAAGAGAAGAACAAGAUCCAUAGGGUGCAACUGAAAUAUCAAAUUUCAGAGAAUGGAGUCAGUGAUAUGCACCUUUGAUUUGCGUUGCUUUGCAGAUUUUUUUUUUUAACUCUAGUUAGACAAUCAGUUAAGGAAAUUAAAUAUGGACCAUUGAUUGAAAAAGUGGACAGAUGUUGCUCAUUUAAAGGUGUACUGGAUGAAAUGGAGGAGAUCCCCACUGGAGGGGAGCCGAGUCCUGUACUAGGGGGACACCAAGCUUCAAAGAUAUGCUCAAAUUUGUCUAUAGUGUCUAGAAUUUUGUGUCUACUCCAAGAGCCUAUUUACAUGAUGAGGGAUAUUUCACAUUCCUGUUCAAUACGAGUGUAGAUAAGAAUUCCAUCAUGCAGAAUGACCCAUACACAUACAACAACAGACCAAUGAUUCUUCGAAAUUGGGUGAAGGACUUCAAAUUCAAACAAAAAAUGCUAAGAAUCAUACCACUAUGGGUACUAUUUCCUGGAUUACCUGUUUACUAUUGGGCUGAAGAAAACUUGGGAAUGAUUGCUAGUUUCAUUUGGAAACCUAUAUGUGUUGAUCUUCUAACAGUUGAAAUUUAGAGGAUAUCCUUUGCAAGGAUCCUCAUAGAAGUAGACAUCACUUAGGAGCUAUCUGAUGAGUUGUAUAUUGAGCAGCCUGAUGGUUCAAUUUUGUUUGAGGAAGUAGAUUAUGAAUGGACUCCAAAAUAUUGCUCUAAAUGUUUGAAACUGGACAUGAUGAUGGAGAAUAUAAGAAGGAAAGGGACAAUGAUCAACCAGAGAAACAACAAGAACCUGCUCUUAAGAGGAAGAAGGCAAGAAGAAGAACAAGGCAAGUUCAAUCUCAAUAACUACCUAAACCCAAUGUACAAAAUGCUGCUAACAAUACUGAAGUGCGACUAGAUAAGGGUAAAGGUGAGCAGCAAGUAGAAGAUCACCCUUUUCCUUCUUUGGAAUCAGUUCAGACUAGACAACAGAGUAACAAAGGGAGUACUAGUUAGAAGCAAGACAAUCUCACAAAGACAGGUGAAGGGCCAGGUCCUGGCACAAAGGAUCUGUUACACCUCGUAGUCGUGUACGUGAAAUCUAUUAGGAGUUAGUUGGUUAAGUCUAGACGUGGAGCAUUUAUCUCAUGGCUACGAGGGUUUGAGUUCAUAUAAUAAGCUAUGAACGACUCUGGGACCAAGCAAGUCAAGGAAAAUAAGUUUGUCAAAAAAUUUGAAAUAGGAUUUGAGUCAACUUUGGAGGGGUAUAUCUCCAUGUGUAUUAGGAGUUUUAAGGCGUUUCAAAAUCCUAAAAUGAAGUUCGUCGAGUCUAGUUUAUAAUGCAACAAACCGCGCGUCUAUAGGACAUCGGAGUAGAGAAUUAUAGACGUUACAACUGAACUGACAGAGCAGAAACAGGGACGCUACAGUACUGCUACAGUGCAGCCGACCUCAGCCCUUAUAAAAAGGGUUAAAACCCCAUUUUUUUCAUCCAAAAUUCUCCAAAUGUCCCAGAAAAUUCAGCACCAAAAAGGGCUCUUAAAUAUUACAUAGAAGUGAGGCUCUUCAGCAAAAUUCAAGCUACGGAAUACUAAUCGAAGACCGAACAACUUGUAGUCGCGAUUAUCAUAUCGUUUUGUGUUGGAUUUAGCUUGGGAACAAGUGAUUAUUGGAGAUCUUGAUAUUUUAGUAAAAAUAAGGCUCGGGUGAAGGGCAAGCUUCGAUAUAAGGAAUUAUUUAAGUGGUGGCUUGACGGAUAAGGCUCUGACAGAUUCAUUGAGGAGCAACCGCAGUAGGAUUUCCAGCUUCAGCGGUGUUAGCAAGUACCACUACUCCGGGCUUGCUAUCUUUUGGUAUUUUUCUGUUAGUGUAAUAUAUGUUCAUAUGUAUACUCUUAGAGGCUCAUGGACAUUGUGGGAUAUGUAAAUAUUAUGUAUGGCCUUGUCGGCCUUGAUUGGGCUUCUUGAUAUGUUUUUGAUAGCCUUGUCGGCUUUAAGAUAUACUUGAUGUUGUAGCGACCUUGUCGGUCCGCAUAUGUAUAUAUGUGUUGAUUUAUCGAGUACUUUUAUGUUGGCCCUUUUCCGCGAGCAGACGUUCUUGAGUUAUGGUAUGUGAUGUCCAAGUAACAGUUAAGUCAUGUGACUUCGGCCUACAGGUCAGAGCCUGUCAUACUCCUCGUCGAGGGUGUGACAGGAUCAAUCUGAUUUUUUAGAGAACAAGCAGAGUAAGUCACCUGAAGUAUAUAACAGGGCUGAAGCACUUGAUCCACCACAAUCUCAAUUAUAUUCAGUUAUUGGAACAUAAGAGGGCUGAAUAGGCCCUUCAAGCAAAAAGAGUUGAAAAACCUUUUGCUUAAGAAUAAAAUGGAUUUGAUAGGUUGUUUAGAGACAAAAAUAAGGGAUUAUAAGGCAUAACAAGUGAAAAGGGAGUUCGGACAAGAAUGACAAAUUAAAUGAGAGGAUAUGGUUAAUAUGGAUACAUGCCACAGAUGAGGUCACUAUUAUGGAUUCUACAUCCCAACUAGUUCAUUGUAAGGUACAAGAUAAGGACUCUUCUUUCUCUUAUAUCAUGACUUUUGUCUAUGGAUUUAACACUGCUACAUAAAGAAUGAGUCUAUGGAAUCAUCUAAGAACACUGGUUGCAACUAUAGUUGACCCUUGGCUGAUUCUAGGGGAUUUUAAUGCUAUUCUGUCCCAUGAGGAUAAAAUCAAUGGGUGUUCCUAUCACACUACAAAAGACUGCAGAGUUUUAGAAAUGUGUUGAAGAUAUUGGGGUAAGGCAGAUACUAAGGAGAGGAAAUCACUUUUCAUGGUGCAACAAAAGAUAUGAGGCUGCUAGGAUUUACAGUCAUAUUGAUUGGGCAUUUGGUAAUCAUGUAUGGUUCUUGCACUACAACUAUAUGGAGGUUGAUUUUUAAGAACCAGGGUGCUCUGAUCAUUCCCCCAUUCUCUUAAAUUCAAUAGCUAAUCAUACUCAAACUAGAAGACCUUUUAGGUUAGUGAAUGUGGUUAUGCAACAUAAGAACUUUUGAGAUCUGGUUCAGGACAUUUGGGCUCAGAAUGUAGAGGGAUACAAGAUGUAUAGUAACUAGAAGAAGUUUCAUAUGUUGGCAUAUCAAUCAGGAUAGCUACAAAAGAAGUAUUCAUCCAUUGAGAAAAGACUGAACCAAUCAGACUAAGAUUGAAAGAGGUACAAGAUGAACUGGCCUAUAGCCUGUUGUUCGACCAGGUACAAGUUAAAUUCGAAAUAUUGACUACUAAGCUUAAAGUUGUGGUUGAUUAUAUUAUCAGUCCAUCCCAAUCAGCUUUCAUUAAAGGGAGGAAUAUUUUGGAUAAUGUGAUUAUUGCUCAUGAAUUGGUGAAAGGUUACUCACAAAAAAGGGUACCUUUAAGGUGCACAAUUAAAGUAGACAUAAGGAAAACUUAUGAUUCAAUAGAGUGACCUAAAAAGAUGAUUCUAUUGGAGUUUGGGUUGCCCACUAAGCUAGUUGAGCUAAUAAUGGAAUGUGUUACCACAGUUCAGUAUCCCCUGUUGAUUAAUGGUAGAUUAACUCCUCUAUUCAAAGCCAAGAAGGGGUUAUGGCAAGGGAAUCCAAUGUCCCCUUAUUUAUUUUUGUUGGUCAUGGAAUAUUUGCAUAUAACUUUGCUACAAUUAAGACAUGUUUCACAGUUCAACUAUCAUAUCCAAGGUACGCAAAGCUUGGCAUAAGUCAUAUAUGCUUUGCUGAUGAGUUGUAAAGCCAAUGUAGAGUCUAUACACCUACUGUUCAACAGUUUUAAACACUUCUCAGAGGUUUAUGAUUUUUAUGAAAAUACGGAAAAGAGCUCAUUA